GAUCCUGGCUUAGGAUGAACGCUAGCGACAGGCUUAACACAUGCAAGUCGAGGGGUAACAGGGUAGCAAUACCGCUGACGACCGGCGCACGGGUGAGUAACGCGUAUGCAACCUGCCUAUAACUGGGGAAUAGCUCCUGAAAGGGAAUUACACGCAUAACACUAUUGAUUCGCAUGGAUUAGUAGUUAAAUGUAGCGAUACAGGUUAUAGAUGGGCAUGCGUGACAUUAGCUAGUUGGUGAGGUAACGGCUCACCAAGGCUACGAUGUCUAGGGGUUCUGAGAGGAAGGUCCCCCACACUGGUACUGAGACACGGACCAGACUCCUACGGGAGGCAGCAGUGAGGAAUAUUGGUCAAUGGGCGCAAGCCUGAACCAAGCCAUGUCGCGUGCAGGAAGACUGCCCUACGGGUUGUAAACUGCUUUUCCCCGGGAAGAAUAAGCCCCUCGUGAGGGUGAUGCCGGUACCGGGGAAUAAGGAUCGGCUAACUCCGUGCCAGCCGCCGC
rnacentral:rRNA from 1 species